CCUGCCCGCCGCUCUGCGCUUCCAUUGGCUGCCCAGGCCCGGGCGGGGGCUCCCUCUCCGGCCUCCGCCUCCCGCGGGGUCCACACUCGCAGCGCGGAGCGCGGCGGCCGGGCUGGACCUCGCUGGACCUCGCUGGCCCGCGGCGCCAUGAGCCGCAGUCUGGACGCCGCGCGGAGCUUCCUGGAGCGGCUGGAAGCGCGGGGCCGGGAGGGGCCCGUCCUCGCCGGCGAGUUCAGAGACAUCCAGGCCCGCUCGGCCGCCUGGAAGGCUGAUGGCAUGUGCUCCACCAAGGCCGGCAGUCGGCCAGAGAAUGUGAGGAAGAUCCGCUACAAAGACGUGCUGCCAUAUGAUCAGACGCGAGUAAUCCUCUCCCUGCUCCAGGAAGAGGGACACAGCGACUACAUUAAUGGCAACUUCAUCCGGGGCGUGGAUGGAAGCCUGGCCUACAUUGCCACUCAAGGACCCUUGCCUCACACCCUGCUAGACUUCUGGAGACUGGUCUGGGAGUUUGGGGUCAAGGUGAUCCUGAUGGCCUGCCGAGAGAUAGAGAACGGGCGGAAAAGGUGUGAGCGGUACUGGGCCCAGGAGCAGGAGCCAGUGCAGACUGGGAUUUUCUGCAUCACUCUGAUAAAGGAGAAGUGGCUGAAUGAGGACAUCAUGCUGAGGACCCUCAAGGUCACAUUCCAGAAGGAGUCCCGUUCUGUGUCCCAGCUACAGUAUAUGUCCUGGCCAGACCGUGGGGUCCCCAGCAGUCCUGACCACAUGCUUGCCAUGGUGGAGGAAGCCCGUUGCCUCCAGGGAUCUGGCCCUGAACCCCUCUGUGUCCACUGCAGUGCGGGCUGUGGGCGAACAGGUGUCCUGUGCACCGUGGAUUACGUGAGGCAGCUGCUCCUGACCCAGAUGAUCCCACCUGACUUCAGCCUCUUUGAUGUGGUCCUUGAGAUGAGGAAGCAGCGGCCUGCGGCCGUGCAGACAGAGGAGCAGUACAGGUUCCUGUACCACACGGUGGCCCAGAUGUUCUGCUCCAUGAUCCAGAAUGCCAGCCUCCACUACCAGAACAUCAAAGAGGUACAGAGGCCCCUUUCCCACUCUCCUGUCCACCAUCAGCACCCUCAGAGACCAGGACCCCAAGCAGGGUCCAGCCCCCGGGACUCCUGGGAGCAGGCACUGCCUAUGACAUCCACCUGUGCCCUCCUCCGGGCAUCCUUAUCAGGCUCUCCCGUCUCAAGCUUUCUCCCAGAGCCCCGUGAGAGGCCUGGCCAGCUUCCUCCCUCAGGAGCCUCCCCUCCUGUUUUUCCUCAGAAUUGUGCCCCACUCUACGACGAUGCCCUCUUCCUCCGGACUCCCCAGGCACUUCUCGCCAUACCCCGCCCACCAGGAGGGGUCCUCAGGCCGACCCCGUUCCUCCUUCAUCCACCUAACGUGCAGGGCGCUAGGGACACAGAAGCGAGGCCCGCACCCAGGGAGCCCUCCCUCCCGUCUAGCGCACCGCCUCGACGGGAAGGAAGCCCGUGGUUUGCGCACUGAGCAGCCUUCCCACUCCCGCCCUGCCCAGCACCGCCGUUUCACUUCCUCCCGGCCCUCCCUGCCUGCAGUAUCUCGGUGCACGGGUCCCCGGGCCACGCCAUGGCUGACACCUACGCGGUGGUGCAGAAGCGCGGGGCUCCAGCGGGCGCCGGGCCGGGGACGGAGACCGGGACGGUGGCGCGCAGCGCGGAGGAGGUGCCGCUCUACAGCCAGGUGACGCCGCGCGCCCAGCGGCCCGGGGCGCACGCGGAAGACGUGCGGGGCACGGUGCCUGGCCGCGGUGAGUCGAGGCUUGCUCCUUCUCAGGGAACCAUCCUGCUGUGGUCCGCAAGGCCCCGGGGGCCGGGAACACCCCCAGCCCCCAUGCUAACCUGGCCACGCCCCGACGCUGAGGUCGCGGCGUCCCUGGCCACGCCCCGGAAGCGCCCCCUGGCGGUCGCGGUCCCGGUCCCGGGGCAGAGUUCCGGGCGACACUAGCUUGCUUGUCUCGGCCGCGCCCAAAGGCUCGAGGCCACGUUCGGGGUGUGCGCCUUCUCCCGCCAGGCGCCCUCGGCCCUCCUCUUCGGGCCUCGGGGGAAGCAUCCCCGCCAGGGGUGAGGUCUUGGGACUCCCUGGGGCUUCCGGAGCUGACUUGUGGCGGGGGGUCUCCUGCCCUCAGUUCCUGCUGACCAAAGUCCUGCAGCAUCUGGAGCCUACGAGGACGUGGCGGGUGGAGCUCAGACUGGUGGGCUAGGUUUCAACCUGCGCAUUGGGAGGCCGAAGGGGCCGCGGGACCCCCCUGCUGAGUGGACCCGGGUGUGAGUCUGCGCCAGCUCCUGCCUGUUGCCUCGUGUGAGCUCGGACUGCUGAUGUCCCGGCGCUGCUGAGCGCCGUGUGCAGAAUGGAAACAGUGCGCCUGAAUCAAAAUAAAAGUUCCUCAGGGUGGGAAAUGUAGGGGCUUUGCCCCAGUGACUGUAGAAUUCAAGUCUUGAGGCUGGAGGAGGUAGGUUUGGUAUAAUGGCUGGUGAGGCUACACGGAGCAGAUUCAAGAAAGAAGAUCGGGAAGGGGCCUGGCCCCUGAGUUACCAAGGGAAGAAUGGACAGAUGAGCUUCCAGAGACUGCUGUCCUCACCACAUAACGCACUGGUCCAUCCUCAGCACCUGAGCCUGCCUCACUUGAACACUCAGGGGACCACACAGAGAAAUGGAUGGACCCCUCGCCAUCCAGGCAGACCGAUAAAAAGACCUCCAGAUAGGCAGACAGACGGAUGGAUCACCAACCUGGACAGACAGCCAAACCUUCAGAGAUACAGUCCGCAGGUGGACAAAGGGACCCCCAGCCGGAGAGACCACCAAACAGAGCCCCCGAAAGACAGACAUCUCUGCCAGCUGGACAGCCAGGUGGACCCCUAAGUUAGACAGAUGUAAACAGAUCCUCAGCUGAACAGACACACAGACUUCUCAGCCCUACCCCCAUCCCCCAGGUGGGCUGGCUGGCUGAAAAGACCUUCUGGCCAGACAGACUCCUAACCAACCAGAUGGACUGUCAGACAGACAUCAGCCACAUGGAAUCCUGACAUCCCAGCCAGCCGGCCAGACUCUCAUCUUGAUGGGUGAACCCCAGUUGGUUGGUCAGAUGUGAUCCUCCAGAUUGACAGAGAAGUCCCCCAAAUGAGUACAUAUCUCCAGCUAUUCAGACAGAUGGACCUCCAGCAAUUCAGGCCCUAUCUAGACCCCAGCCAAACAGACCCCCAACCAGACUGACCCCUUGCUGUUCACACAGCCUCCCGAGUAGCUGGGACUACAGGUCUAAUUUUUUUUUUUUUUUUUUUUUUUUUUUUUUUUUUUUUUUAGAGAUGAGUUUGCCAUGUUGCCCAGGCUAGUCUCGAACUCCUGAGCUAAAGCAAUCCUCCUGCCUUAGCCUCCCAAAGUGCUGAGAUUAUAGGUGUGAGCCACCAGGCUCAGCCCUGUAAGAUUUGAAACACUUUAAAUGGCCCACAGUAGGGUUCCUGCUAGGAUAAAACAUUAAGCAGCUGUUAAAAAAAAAAAAAAAAAAAAAAACCCGCCUCUGUGCACUGGUGUGGACAAAUCUCCAAGUCACUGCAAAAUGGAAAAAUAAAAGAUGCUCUUUCCUGGAACCUCAAGGGUCCCGCCCCUCUCACCUUCAGGUCUCUGGACCUCUGACUGACACUGUGCCUGCCCAGGUCCCUGUCUGUACCGCCACAGUGCCCUGGGUCCCACGUACACCCCUGUCCUGCCCUUCUCUGGGUGAGGGCUGGCCUUCCCCUGCCUCUGCCUGGCUGCAUCUUUGGUCGAUCUCAAGUGCCUUGGCAUGAAUUCCACUCCUGCAGCCUUUAAUCAGGGAAUGAUGGGGGAUGUGUUCAUACCCCCACCCCACCCCUUGGCCGGGUGAUGCUGAGAUGUGGAUUUUUAACAGUUCCCAGACUUUUCCAGGAGGCUUGGGUUUGGGUGCCCACAGUGGGAGGUGGUGUGAUACCUUCGCUGGCUGCCUUUCUUUCCUGUUCUCUGUGCCCCUACUUCCCACUCUAGAACUGCCCCGUUUCUCUGUUUUCGUGAAAGAGCUGGCCCUGUGCUGCCUCCCACUCUCCCAAUGCCCCUGCCUCUCCUGUGAGCCUGCUGCUGGUGAGGUCGGUGCUGACCUGUGUGUUGCUGGAUAAUGAGUCAUUUAUCUCUGGAGGAGAGGAAAGGCAGGUCCUCCACAGCCCUGAUAAAAUCUUCAAGUCUUCCAGUUUCAGGUCCUUCUCCUGGGAUGCAAACCUACUGCCUGCCCAGGUGGCAUGGUCCACAUCCCCUCUUCUUGGGAAUAGGGGCAUGGGAAAGUGACUGAAGAUACUGUUCUGGCUGCUGUGUUCACUGUGAGUAACAAAUUGUCCAUUUCUCCGA